UACGUAGGUUGCGAGCGUUGUCCGGAAUUAUUGGGCGUAAAGAGCUUGUAGGCGGUCUGUCGCGUCUGCUGUGAAAAUCCGGGGCUCAACCCCGGACUUGCAGUGGGUACGGGCAGACUAGAGUGUGGUAGGGGAGACUGGAAUUCCUGGUGUAGCGGUGAAAUGCGCAGAUAUCAGGAGGAACACCGAUGGCGAAGGCAGGUCUCUGGGCCACUACUGACGCUGAGAAGCGAAAGCAUGGGGAGCGAACAGG
rnacentral:rRNA from 1 species